GAUGAACGCUGGCGGCGUGCCUAAUACAUGCAAGUCGAGCGAACGGACGAGAAGCUUGCUUCUCUGCUAUUAGCGGCGGACGGGUGAGUAAAACGUGGAUAACAUCUCUAUAAGACUGGGAUAACUUCGGGGAACCGGAGCUAUUACCGGGUAUAAUUUUGAACCGCAUGGUUCAAAAGAGAUGGACGGUCUUGCUGACACUUAAGCAUGGAUCGGCGCUGCAGUAGCUAGUUGGUAAGGUAACGGCUUACCAAGGGAACGAUGCAUAGCCGACCUGAGAGGGGGACCGGCCACACUGGAACUGAGACACGGUCCAGACUCCUACGGGAGGCAGCAGUAGGAAAGUUUCCGCAAUGGGCGAAAGCCUGACGGAGCAACGCCGCGUGAGUGAUGAAGGUCUUCGGAUCUUAAAACUCUUUUAUUAGGGAAGAACAUAUGUUUAAGAAACUGGGCACAUCUUGACGGUACCUAAACAGAAAGCCACGGCUAACUACGUG
rnacentral:rRNA from 1 species